GUGCUCGCUUUGGCAGCACUUAUACUAAAAUUGGAACAAUGCAGAGAAGAUUAGCAUGUCCCCUGCGCAAAGAAUCUUCAAAGAGCCAAGAUUCAUUGGGUGACCUU